GACAAAGAUAAAAACGCAACGCACAUUGUUGGAAUGUGCCAGAGCCGGUAGGUAGCCCGGCCGUCCCGUCUGAAAAAGAUGGGGUAAGUAACCUGCCCCUCCCGGGUUGUCCGUUCUUUGUCCAU
rnacentral:ncRNA from 1 species